GGCUGGGGAAAGAGGCCAAGGGAGGUCCUGUCUUGGGUGGGUCUCUCAACCACCACACCAGAGAAGAGGCCGGCUGCCCCACAGAAACCUUCCCCUUGAGGCCAUGGAUCAGAGAGGUUCUGCAACCCCCAGCCUCCCAGCUGAGCCUCGAUGUUCCAUGACCGAGAACACCCUGCAUGGAGAAGAGGAACUGGAUGAGGAGACGGUGUA